rnacentral:rRNA from 1 species
UACGUAGGGGGCAAGCGUUGUCCGGAUUUAUUGGGCGUAAAGAGCGUGUAGGCGGCCAGGUAGGUCCGUUGUGAAAACUCGAGGCUCAACCUUCAGAGGUCGACCGAAACCAUCUGGCUAGAGUCCGGGAGAGGAGAGUGGAAUUCCUGGUGUAGCGGUGAAAUGCGCAGAUAUCAGGAAGAACACCCGUGGCGAAAGCGGCUCUCUGGAACGGUACUGACGCUGAGACGCGAAAGCGUGGGGAGCAAACAGG